AGCUUUAUAUUCAUAAAUGAUAUAAAAUUGCAAAUUUUAAGGAGUAGAGAUUUCUAUUAAGGCUU
rnacentral:tRNA from 1 species